AAACCAACCGGGAUUGCCUUAGUAACGGCGAGUGAAGCGGCAAAAGCUCAAAUUUGAAAUCUGGUACCUUCGGUGCCCGAGUUGUAAUUUGGAGAGGGCAACUUUGGGGCCGUUCCUUGUCUAUGUUCCUUGGAACAGGACGUCAUAGAGGGUGAGAAUCCCGUGUGGCGAGGAGUGCGGUUCUUUGUAAAGUGCCUUCGAAGAGUCGAGUUGUUUGGGAAUGCAGCUCUAAGUGGGUGGUAAAUUCCAUCUAAAGCUAAAUAUUGGCGAGAGACCGAUAGCGAACAAGUACAGUGAUGGAAAGAUGAAAAGAACUUUGAAAAGAGAGUGAAAAAGUACGUGAAAUUGUUGAAAGGGAAGGGCAUUUGAUCAGACAUGGUGUUUUGUGCCCUCUGCUCCUUGUGGGUAGGGGAAUCUCGCAUUUCACUGGGCCAGCAUCAGUUUUGGUGGCAGGAUAAAUCCAUAGGAAUGUAGCUUGCCUCGGUAAGUAUUAUAGCCUGUGGGAAUACUGCCAGCUGGGACUGAGGACUGCGACGUAAGUCAAGGAUGCUGGC
rnacentral:rRNA from 1 species